rnacentral:rRNA from 1 species
AUACGGAGGGUGCAAGCGUUACUCGGAAUCACUGGGCGUAAAGCGCGCGCAGGCGGUCUUUUAAGUUGGAUGUGAAAGCCUACGGCUCAACCGUAGAACUGCAUCCAAAACUAUUAGACUAGAGUGUGGGAGAGGAAGAUGGAAUUAGUUGUGUAGGGGUAAAAUCCGUAGAGAUAACUAGGAAUACCAAAAGCGAAGGCAAUCUUCUGAAACACUACUGACGCUGAGGCGCGAAAGCGUGGGGAGCAAACAGGAUUAGAAACCCUAGUAGUCC